AUCAGAGAUAAAGAACGACUUGAGAGAUUAUCUUCUGGUGCUGAAGUUUCCUCUGAAGAUUUCGAUCAAGCAGCACUGGAAACUGCCCAAGAAUUUGAAGACAAAUUUAACGAAGAGCUGAAGAAACUUGAAUUAGCUCCUAGAAAAACAAAAGACGAUGAGACAAGUAACUUUAAAUCAUUGAAUCGAUGUCUAGAUCAUAGAUUACUAUUUUUUAUCAAUUCGCAAGUUGGUAAUCAUGAUAAAUGGACAUUGCCUUUUGUCAAAAUUGAUAAACAAUCAUCUCUGAGAG